rnacentral:lncRNA from 1 species
AGAUACUUUUUUUUCUGUUAAAUAUUCCUUUCUUUCAAGAUUUAGUUCACAUAGGAUUGAAUAAUGUUAAAUUUUCGUGCUAAUUUGCACUAGGUUUUGCCAAAUGUUCCAACAGUCAAUUCUUCAAGACAGGCUUUUGACAAGAAUCAACACUUCUUUCCAGGUUUUUCCCAUUCUCAAUUCUUCCAAUAAUGCUAUAAACUGUACUUCUUGGUAUCCCCAUCUUCAAAAAAUGAUUGACAAUGAAACAUUUUCCACGCUCUCUAUUUUCCAAGUAAAAUGUGCCGAUGAUUUUUCUCUUACU